CCUACGGGAGGCAGCAGUGAGGAAUAUUGGUCAAUGGGCGUAAGCCUGAACCAGCCAAGUCGCGUGAGGGAUGACGGUCCUAUGGAUCGUAAACCUCUUUUAUCAGGGAAUAAAGUGUGGGACGUGUCCUGUUUUGUAUGUACCUUAUGAAUAAGGAUCGGCUAACUCCGUGCCAGCAGCCGCGGUAAUACGGAGGAUUCGAGCGUUAGCCGGAUUUAUUGGGUUUAAAGGGUGCGUAGGCGGGCUUUUAAGUCAGCGGUGAAAGUCUGUGGCUCAACCAUAGAAUUGCGGUUGAAACUGGGAGGCUUGAGUAUGUGAGAGGCAGGCGGAAUGCGUGGUGUAGCGGUGAAAUGCUUAGAUAUCACGCAGAACCCCGAUUGCGAAGGCAGCCUGCCAGGCCAUAACUGACGCUGAUGCACGAAAGCGUGGGGAUCAAACAGGAUUAGAUACCCUAGUAGUC
rnacentral:rRNA from 1 species